rnacentral:rRNA from 1 species
GUCUACUACCAUACUACCCUGAACAAGCCUGAUCCCAUCUGAUCUCAGAAGCUAAUCAGGGUCGGGCCUGGUUAGUACUUGGAUAGGAGACCACCUAGGAAGACCAGAUGCUGCAGGUG